CAGAGAUGGCUUGGUGCUCGAAAGAGAGCCUGGACACAGGUGCUGCAUGGCCGUCGUCAGCUCGUGUCGUGAGAUGUUGGGUUAAGUCCCGCAACGAGCGCAACCCUUGUCAUUAGUUGCUACGAAAGGGCACUCUAAUGAGACUGCCGGUGACAAACCGGAGGAAGGUGGGGAUGACGUCAGGUCCUCAUGGCCCUUAUGGGUAGGGCUACACACGUCAUACAAUGGCCGGUACAGAGGGCUGCCAACCCGCGAGGGGGAGCCAAUCCCAGAAAACCGGUCGUAGUCCGGAUCGUAGUCUGCAACUCGACUGCGUGAAGUCGGAAUCGCUAGUAAUCGCGGAUCAGCUUGCCGCGGUGAAUACGUUCCCGGGUCUUGUACACACCGCCCGUCACACCAUGGG
rnacentral:rRNA from 1 species